CUCCCAGUGUCUCCUCUCUCCAGGCUGAGCAUCCCCAACCCCACUUGCCCAGCAGUCAGUCACAUCAGGGCCAGUCAAGGCUGCAGGGUAGCAAAUAGCAUCAGGAACUGAGAGAUGCAAGCUUUAGACCCCGGUUUGCCUCUAAAUGUUUUUCUGUUUGAAAGGAAGCUUGGCACAAUGUCCAUUGUCUUCUCCAUUUGUGAAACACUAAGUGGAGUGUGGGCAGGCUGAUACGCAGAGCAAAACCUGAAAAUAUACUAGUGAUCCUGAGCCUGGGGGAUGCAGCUAAACCCAGCCAAAAGUAAUUUCUGGAAAGUUGAUCCUGGUUUACAUUGUCUUGAGUUUGGCUUUGCCAACUUCACCAGUCAUUUAUGAAAAAGCAAACAAAAAACUCAAACCAAAUCAGACAAAAACCCAAACAAAUAAAGAAACAAACAAACCCAUGCAAACUGAUCCAACAAAUAGAUAAAAAACCCCAAAUAAAACCAACGGAAAUGA